rnacentral:rRNA from 1 species
CAGGGAAUUUUGCGCAAUGGGCGAAAGCCUGACGCAGCAACGCCGCGUGGGGGAUGAAGGCUCUUGGGUCGUAAACCCCUUUUGCCGGGGAAGAUAAUGACGGUACCCGGCGAAUAAGCCACGGCUAACUACGUGCCAGCAGCCGCGGUAAUACGUAGGUGGCAAGCGUUGUCCGGAUUUAUUGGGCGUAAAGAGCGCGCAGGCGGUCCGUUUAGUCCGAGGUGAAAUCUCCCGGCUCAACUGGGAGGGGUCUUCGGAUACUGGCGGACUUGAGGAGUGCAGAGGUGAGUGGAAUUCUCGGUGUAGUGGUGAAAUGCGUAGAUAUCGAGAGGAACACCAGUGGCGAAGGCGGCUCACUGGGCACCACCUGACGCUGAGGCGCGAAAGCGUGGGGAGCGAACCGG